rnacentral:rRNA from 1 species
CGGACGGGUGAGUAAUGUCUGGGAAACUGCCCGAUGGAGGGGGAUAACUACUGGAAACAGUAGCUAAUACCGCAUAACGUCGCAAGACCAAAGAGGGGGACCUUAGGGCCUCUUGCCAUCGGAUGUGCCCAGAUGGGAUUAGCUAGUAGGUGGGGUAACGGCUCACCUAGGCGACGAUCCCUAGCUGGUCUGAGAGGAUGACCAGCCACACUGGAACUGAGACACGGUCCAG